rnacentral:lncRNA from 1 species
AACAGGAUACAUUAGUUAUUAUAACAAUGUAUCUUUUCAUUAUAAAUAAAUAUAUUAUAACAAUUUAUUUAUCUAUUAUAAACAUAGAUGCUCUUUUCAUGGUCAAAUGUUGUAACUCACUUGAUAUUAGUUGGAUUCCAUUAGUUAUUAUGACAAUUGAAUGAGUCUCCCCAUCAUACUCUGUGUAACAUGAUACAUUUUUAUGUCAGUGUUCAUUUUACAAAUGUAGCAAAUUAUAAGAGUCUUAACAUGUUCUAUGGAUUAUACAUUUAACUAGGGAAUGUCUCUUUGUUUCUUGCUUGAGAUAUUGCUUGAAAUUUCUAGAGUUGACUAGUUGAAGGCACUCCAGAGUAUCAAUUCAAUUGAACAAGGGACAACUGUAUGCUGCUAACGGGUUGUCUUAAUUGUAAACCCUAAAUUUUCAUUGACUCUCUCUGCUAGAUGUACACGAUAUAAGCACUAUCAUUACAUCACCUGUUCAACUUGUGAUCUGUGUUUUGAAUAGUAUUGUACCUUCUCUUUUCCUUCUACAAUUUACAUUCAUUGGUUGAAGUCCUUUUUUUUUUAAUUUUUCAGCAUAAUUUUCAACUUCUGCUAUUCUAAAAGUUUACAGUUACAUUAUAUCACAGCCCAUUACAUCACCUGUUCAACUUGUGAUCUGUGUUUUGAAUAGUAUUGUACCUUCUCUUUUCCUUCUACAAUUUACAUUCAUUGGUUGAAGUCCUUUUUUUUUUUUUUUUUUUUUUUUAAUUUUUCAGCAUAAUUUUCAACUUCUGCUAUUCUAAAAGUUUACAGUUACAUUAUAUCACAACCCAUUACAGCACUUCAAAUUUUGCUUGGCUAUUUGAAAGCUUUUGUAUAAGCUUUUCCGACCUUCGUGGUGUUAUCCUUAUGUUAUUUUCUUUUCUUAUUCUCUGCCCUAUUUAUUCUACCUUUAUUCUUUAUAAAACCAAAAAUUGCAUCAGUCUGAAUUUUUCGAUCCAUAUUUAUUAUUAUGAACUUUUUGCAUUGAUAGCUUUUUGUUAUGCUUACCAGCAUCACAUCCUACUAAAUCAAAAUAUCAUUUUGUGGAUCCUCUUUCCCACUCAUAAAUCAGAGUUCUUGAACAGUUGUCCCCCCAUUAUGGUGUCCUCAAAAGAAGCAAAUACACCUAACUAUUCCUAGCAUUUAUUUGCAUGCACUUGAGGUUGCUUCUAUACCAAUUCAAUGUUCAUAUGUGAAACCUUCUUAGUCACUUUUGCCAUGCAAGAUUGUUUUGAAAGACCAAGCUUUCCAUGCUAAGAUGUAAAUAAGUCAAUUUUUAAUUUUCAAGCUCCACCAAUAUAUGCCACUAAAUUUCAGGCUUAUUGUUAUUGAUUUCAUAGGUUGAACUGAAACGAAAAUCAUGGUAGCUCUCACGCCAUCUUGCAAUUAACCUGCGACAACCAUUUUUACUUCGACUUAACCAUGAUUUCUGAUAUAUUUGUUAUUUAAGA